rnacentral:piRNA from 1 species
UAUUCACUUUUGUCCCUCUGUGCCUG